GACGAUCUUCCUUGAAGACGAAUUUUAAAGUGAAACUGUUACAAGUUUGAUGGAUUUUUGUUGGACGGAUCCGUUACGAAAUAAGUUGACUUUUUUUGGCAUUUUAAUUAAUCUUUCUAAGAAAGGAUAAAGCUCAUUUAGGUGAAUGAUUAAAUACAGGAGUAAAUUAUUUCAGAAAUGUUUGGACAAAUGUUUAUUUCACAUUACAACACUGCUGACAAGGCGAGGCACUUUAAAGAAAUCACACCACACAAUCCAUCGACUGAGAAGGCGAGGGUUAUAUUGUCAUUACGAAGCAACACCUCUGAUCUGAUCAAUAGCCAGUAUGAAUUAACAACAGUUGGAUUAUUCCAGCCGACCCUGGCCAAUUCAACAUAGACAUAUUGUAAUAUUUUAUUUGUUUAAAAACAUCUCCAUCGUGAGUUUUUUUUUUGUCUUUUUUUUUGCUCCCUAACCCUAUCUCUAUAUCCGAAUUUUUAUUUUAUUAAUAUUGCUUAAACUAUUCGAGAAAACUUGAUUAAGUCCAUUUAUCAGGUUUGCUCAGAUGCUUUGCGAAAGGACAUGAGACAACAUUCUUAUUUGUGGAAGGACAAUACUCAUACAUACUCAUUGCGUAAAUUUACUAAGGUUAACAAUAUCCUUUUACUAACCCAUUUGAGUCUUAUAGGACAGAACGUGUUAAGAAAUGAGAGCUCGAACCAAAAGGACCACAACGCAGUCACCCUUCAUUGAACCUUAGCAAAAGGAUCGUCCGCUUUUUUCUUUCUUUUUCUUUUUCAGAAAAGUUUUGCGAUAAAAUC
rnacentral:lncRNA from 1 species